rnacentral:lncRNA from 1 species
ACCCAUUUAGGACGUUUUUUGGUUCAGGAGUGAACAAUAAGUCUGCCCAGGUUCUCCUGCUCUUCGUGAUUCCCGGCCACCUGAUCUUCCUCUACACAAUCCAUCUGAUGAAGAGCGGCCACACCUCUCUGACUGUAGUCUUUGUUGUUGUGUACCUGCUUGCUGCUGUGCUCCAGGUGACAGGGCCAUCAAGAGCUUCAGCAGGUAAAGGAACAGACAACCAGGUCUGGUCCCCAGGACCCACGAAAAGGCGGAAGAAGGCCAUUAGCUCUCCAGAGCUGUCCUCCGACCUUCACAUGCACAGUGGCACGCACCACUUCCCAUAAUGUGCGUGAACAUGCAUGUGCAUACACAAUAACAAAUUUUAUUAAAAAGUUCUCAUCUC